rnacentral:rRNA from 1 species
CCUACGGGUGGCAGCAGUGAGGAAUAUUGGUCAAUGGACGCAAGUCUGAACCAGCCAUGCCGCGUGCAGGAAGACGGCUCUAUGAGUUGUAAACUGCUUUUGUACGAGGGUAAACGCAGAUACGCGUAUCUGUCUGAAAGUAUCGUACGAAUAAGGAUCGGCUAACUCCGUGCCAGCAGCCGCGGUAAUACGGAGGAUUCAAGCGUUAUCCGGAUUUAUUGGGUGAAAAGGGUGCGUAGGCGGUCGGAUAAGUUAGAGGUGAAAUCCCGAGGCUCAACUUCGGAAUUGCCUCUGAUACGGUUCGGCUAGAGAGUAGUGGCGGUAGGCGGAAUGUAUGGGGUGGCGGUAAAAGGCUAAGAAAUAAGACAGAACACCGAUUGCGAAGGCAGCUUACCAAGCUACUUCUGACGUUGAGGCACGAAAGCGUGGGGAGCAAACAGGAUUAGAUACCCCUGUAGU